rnacentral:rRNA from 1 species
AUUGAACGCUGGCGGCAGGCCUAACACAUGCAAGUCGAGCGGAGCGGCGGACGGGUGAGUAAUGUCUAGGAAUCUGCCUGGUAGUGGGGGAUAACGUCCGGAAAAUGGCGCUAAUACCGCAUACUAUCAGAUGAGCCUAGGUCGGAUUAGCUAGUGGGUGGGGUAAAGGCCUACAAAGGCGACGAGCCGUAACUGGUCUGAGAGGAUGAGCAGUCAAACUUGAACUGAGACACGUUCCAGACUCCUACGGGAUGCAGCAGGGGGGAAUAUUGGACAAUGGGCGAAAGCCUGAUCCAGCCAUGCCGCGUGUGUGAAGAAGGUCUGCGGAUUGUAAAGCACUUUAAGUUGGGAGGCGUUACCAACAGAAGAAGCACCGGCUAACUUCGUGCCAGCAGCCGCGGUAAUU